rnacentral:rRNA from 1 species
GACGAACGCUGGCGGCGUGCUUAACACAUGCAAGUCGAACGGAAAGGCCCUGCUUUUGUGGGGUGCUCGAGUGGCGAAAGGGUGAGUAACACGUGAGUAACCUGCCCUUGACUUUGGGAUAACUUCAGGAAACUGGGGCUAAUACCGGAUAGGAGCUCCUGCUGCAUGGUGGGGGUUGGAAAGUUUCGGCGGUUGGGGAUGGACUCGCGGCUUAUCAGCUUGUUUGUGGGGUAGUGGCUUACCAAGGCUUUGACGGGUAGCCGGCCUGAGAGGGUGACCGGCCACAUUGGGACUGAGAUACGGCCCAGACUCCUACGGGAGGCAGCAGUGGGGAAUAUUGCACAAUGGGCGGAAGCCUGAUGCAGCAACGCCGCGUGCGGGAUGACGGCCUUCGGGUUGUAAACCGCUUUCGCCUGUGACGAAGCGUGAGUGACGGUAAUGGGUAAAGAAGCACCGGCUAACUACGUG